GGGAGAAAAAGGUGUUCCAGGAGUUCCAGGUCUGAUUGGUGAAGCUGGCCAACUGGGUGAAAUUGGUGACAGAGGAGACACUAUGAAUUUGCCAGGAAGUAAAGGUUCUAAAGGAAUUCCUGGACCAGCUGGACCAGCAGGGUUGAAAGGUGACAAAGGAAAGAAGGGUGAUGCUGGGGAUCAAGGAUAUCGUGGUGUGGAAGGCAUGGAAGGCCCUCAAGGCUCCCAGGGAUUAAUAGGGCAAGGAGG